UAUCUACCCAAUUCAAUUAAUUUUCAUUGACUGAAAAUGAUAGGACUUAAGUAUAUUAACUAUGUAGUCAUUGUAUGUGUACUAUCACCUCUGCUUUCAUCUUCAAAUAUGGUUCUAAAUGAAAGAAAAGAAAUGCAAUCAAGCAUACUUAAUUUUGGAAGAGUUUUGUCAAAUUCCAUAUUAUCAAUGACAUUUAAAUUCAUAAGAUAGUCCCCAAAAAGAUGUCAAUAUUAGGCUAAAUUUAUAAUCUAAUAACAUUAACUCAAAUUCUAGAUUUUGGGAAUAAAAGAGAGAAAAAAAUUCUUGCCCUCCUCAACUUCCCUAAGAAUAGGGUUAAAGAAAAUGCCUACUAACCCAAAUAUUCAAUCCAAUUUCAUAGAAUUUCCAACAGUAUAAUGUUAACAUGAAAAAAAUAUAGGCAACAUGGGGAAAGAUGUUUCGGCUUAAAGAAUCCAGCUUAAAAGUAACUAAUUCAUGCAGAUGACAUGAUACUAUACCUAGAAAAUCCUAAAGACACUACCAGAAAACUGUUAGAGCUCAUCCAUGAAUUUGGUAAAGUUGCUGGAUACAAAAUUAAUACACAGAAAUCAACUGCAUUUCUAUAUACUGACAAUGAAAGAUCAGAAAGAGAAAUUAGGGAAACCAUCCCAUUUACCAUCACAUCAAAAAGACUAAAAUACCUUGGAAUAAAUUACCUAAAGAGACAAAAGACCUAUACUCCAAAAACUAAAAGACACUGAUGAAAGAAAUCAAAGACAACACAUAUAGAUGGAAAAAUAUACCAUGCUCUUGGAUUGGAAGAAUCAACAUAGUCAAAAUGACAACACUGCCUCAGGCAAACUACAGAUUAAGUGCCAUCCCUAUCAAAUUACCAAUGACAUUCUUUACAGAACUAGAACAAAAUACUUUAAAAUUUGUAUGGAAAUACCGAAGACCCUGAAUAAACAAAGCAAUAUUACAAAGAAAAAAACAGCACUGGAGGAAUCAGGUGCCCUGACUUCAGAUUAUACUACAAAGCAACAGUCCUCAAAAAACUAUGGUGCUGGCACAAAAAACAGAAAUAUAGAUCAAUGGAACAGGAUAGAAGGCCCAGAAGUAAUCCCAAGCACCUAUGGUCAACUAAUCUAUGACAAAGGAAGCAAGAACAUACAGUAGAGGAAAGACAGUCUCUUCAAUAAGUGGUGCUGAGAAAACUGGACAGCUGCAUGUAAAAGAAUGAAAUCAGAACAUUCUCUAACACUAUACACAGAAACAAAAUGGAUUAAAGACCUAAAUGUAAGACCAGAUGCUAUAAAACUCCUAGAGAAAAGCAUAGGCAGAACGCUCUUUGACGUAAAUCACAGCAACAUCUUGUUUGAGCCACCUCCUAUAAUAAUGACAACAAAGACAAAAAUAAACCAAUGGGAACUAAUUGAACUCAAAAGCUUUUGCACAGCAAAGGAAACCAUUAAGAAGAAAACAAAAAGACAGCCCACAGAAUGGGAGAAAAUCUUUGCAAAUGAUACAACCAACAAAGACUUAAUCUCUAAAAUAUUCAAACAAUUCAUACAACUCAACAACAAAAAAACAAACAACCCAAUUAGAAAUGGGCAGAAGACCUAAAUAGACAUUUCUCCAAAGAAGACAUACACAUGGCCAGCAGGCACAUGAAAAAAUGCUCAACAUCACUAAUUACUAGAGAAAUGCAAAUCAAAUCUGCAAUGAGGUACCACUUGACACCAGUUAAAGUGGCCAUCAUUAACAAGUCAACAAACAACAAAUGGAGAAAAGGGAACCCUCCUUCACUGUUGGUAGGAAUGUAAAUUGGUACAACCACUGUGGAAAACAGUAUGGAGUUACCUCAGAAAACUAAAUAUAGAACCACCAUAUGAUCCAGAAAUCCCAUUCCUGGGCAUAUAUCCAGACAAAACUUUCAUUGAGGAGUUUCCGUCGUGGCUCAGUGGUUAACGAACUAGGAACCAUGAGGUUGCAGGUUUGAUCUCUGGCCUUGCUCAGUGGGUUAAUGAUCCGGCGUUGCCAUGAGCUGUGGUGCAGGUCACAGACGAGGCUCGGAUCCUAUGUUGCUGUGGCUCUGGUGUAGGCUGGCGGCUACAGCUCCGAUUCGACCCCUAGCCUGGGAACCUCCAUAUGCCGCGGGAGUGGCCCAAGAAAUGGCAAAAAGACAAAAAACAAAACAAAACAAAAAAACUUUCAUUGAAAAAGAUACAUGCACCCCUAUGUUCCUUGCAGCACUAUUCACAAUAGCCAAGACAUGCAAACAACCCAAAUGUCCAUUGACAGAUGAAUGGAUUAAGAAGAUAUGUGUGUGCAUACAUACAAUACAAGGAAAGAAGCUGUGGGAAUACUAUUCAGCCAUAAAAAGGACAAAAUAAUGCCAUUUGCAGCAACAUGGGUGGAACUGGAGAUUCCCAUACUAAGUGAAAUAAGUCAGAAAGGGAAAGACAAACACCAUAUGUUACCAGUUUUAUGUGGAGUCUAAAAUAUGACACAAAUGAUCUAUCUACAAAACAGAAACAGAUCAUGGACAUGGAGGGCCAAUUUGUGUUUGUAGGGGUGGGGGAGGGACGGACAGGGAGUGUGGGGGAGAGAUGAACGGAUGGGUGAUGGGGUCCUGCUGUACAGCACAGGGAGCUGUGUCCAGUCUCUUGGGUUAGAACAUGAUGGAAAAUGAAAGAAAAAAAAUGCAUGUAUGGGUGGCUGGGUAACUUUGCUAUAAAGCAGAAAUUGAAGGAACAUUGUAAAUCAGCUAUACUUUUAAAAAGUUUUAAGUAGCUAACUCAUACAUAAAAGAAUGUCACUCUUGGUUUUCACAGCUUCUUUCCUUCCAUUUCUGAACCCACUGGUACUCUUAAAGCUCCACGUUUUCACAGUGGUUCCUAACAAUAAGAGUGAACAUUUUGGGAGUUCCCGUCGUGGCUCAGUGGUUAGCUAGACCGACUAGGAAACAUGAGGCUGAGGGUUCGAUCCCUGGCCUUGCUUAGCGGGUUGGGGAUCCGGCGUUGCUGUGAGCUGUGGUGUAGGUGGCAGGCGCGGCUCAGAUCCUGCAUUCCUGUAGCUGUGGUGUAGGCCAGUGGCUGUAGCUCUGAUUGGACCCCUAGCCUGGGAACCUCCAUAUGCCAUAGGUGUGGCCCUAGAAAAGACAAAAAAGAAAAAAGUGAACAUUUUGAAAGUAUGAAAAAAAAAAAAAAAA
rnacentral:lncRNA from 1 species